rnacentral:rRNA from 1 species
CCUGAUGAUCUGGGAUAACACUUCGAAAGAGGUGCUAAUACCGGAUAAGCCCACGGGAUCUUUGGAUUCUGCGGGAAAAGGGGGGACCUUCGGGCCUUCUGUCAUCAGAUGAGUCUGCGUACCAUUAGCUAGUUGGUAGGGUAAUGGCCUACCAAGGCUACGAUGGUUAGCUGGUCUGAGAGGAUGAUCAGCCACACUGGAACUGAGACACGGUCCAG